ACGGGUGAGUAACGCGUAGGAAUCUACCUUGUAGUGGGGAAUAACUUGGGGAAACUCAAGCUAAUACCGCAUGACACCCGAAAGGGGAAAGCAGGGGACCGAAAGGCCCUGUGCUAUGAGAUGAGCCUGCGUCAGAUUAGCUUGUUGGUGGGGUAAUGGCCUACCAAGGCGAUGAUCUGUAGCUGGUCUGAGAGGACGACCAGCCACACUGGGACUGAGACACGGCCCAGACUCCUACGGGAGGCAGCAGUGGGGAAUAUUGGACAAUGGGCGCAAGCCUGAUCCAGCAAUGCCGCGUGUGUGAAGAAGGCCUGCGGGUUGUAAAGCACUUUCAGUGGGGAGGAAGGUCUGUUGGUUAAUAGUCAACAGAAUUGACGCUACCCACAGAAGAAGCACCGGCUAACUCUGUGCCAGCAGCCGCGGUAAUACAGAGGGUGCGAGCGUUAAUCGGAAUUACUGGGCGUAAAGGGUGCGUAGGUGGUUUAUUAAGUCAGAUGUGAAAUCCCCGGGCUUAACCUGGGAAUUGCAUAUGAUACUGGUGAGCUAGAGAAUGGAAGAGGGAAGUGGAAUUUCCCGGUGUAGCGG
rnacentral:rRNA from 1 species